rnacentral:rRNA from 1 species
CCCUUAGAUGUUCUGGGCCGCACGCGCGCUACACUGACGAAUGCAACGAGCUUAUAACCUUGGCCGAAAGGUCUGGGUAAUCUCCAAAUUUCGUCGUGAUGGGGAUAGAUUGUUGCAAUUAUUAAUCUUCAACGAGGAAUGCCUAGUAAGCGCAAGUCAUCAGCUUGCGUUGAUUACGUCCCUGCCCUUUGUACACACCGCCCGUCGCUCCUACCGAUUGAAUGGUCCGGUGAAGCGUUCGGACCGUGGCCUUUGGACGGUUCGCCGUCUGUUGGCUGCGGGAAGUUCGUUAAACCUUAUCAUUUAGAGGAAGGAGAAGUCGUAACA